AAUAUAUUUGUCAGGAUGGCUAUACAACCUCAAAAGGAGAGACUGAGGUAGAGACACAAUGCCUUACAGAGGGCUGGAGCCCAGAGCCAGAAUGUAUCAGGACAUGCUUAAAGCCACCUGCAGAUAAUUUUAUCUUCAACACAACUAAGCCUGUUUUUUUACCUGGAGAUGUACUUCACUAUGAAUGUAAAGAGGAGUUUGAAAUCACUAAAAAUAGCAUCAGUGACACCGUGGUGUGCACUGAGGAAGGAUGGGAACCUACUCCUCCUAGAUGUGUGGCAUUUGUAUGUCAAG